rnacentral:rRNA from 1 species
GUCUUCGGCCAUGCCACCCUGAACACGCCCGAUCCCGUCUUAUCUAGGAAGCUAAGCAGGGUCAUGCCUGGUUAGUACUUGGAUGGGAGACCACCUAGGAAGACCAGGUGCUAUAGGCG